UACGUAGGGUGCAGGCGUUAAUCGGAAUUACUGGGCGUAAAGCGUGCGCAGGCGGUUUGCUAAGACAGGUGUGAAAUCCCCGGGCUUAACCUGGGAACUGCGCUUGUAACUGGCAAGCUAGAGUGUGGCAGAGGGGGGUGGAAUUCCACGUGUAGCAGUGAAAUGCGUAGAGAUGUGGAGGAACACCGAUGGCGAAGGCAGCCCCCUGGGCUAACACUGACGCCUCAUGCACGAAAGCGUGGG
rnacentral:rRNA from 1 species